GAGAUAUGUGUGCCUACACACAAAUACUUUUUUUCCACCAGCGGCCUACGAUUUGGUUGGGAAAAUGUGUGAAGCAUCUGGUGGCAGCAGAGGGGCAGUCUGACACAAUGGCACCUGACCUGGAACUGCAUAUGAAGCAAAGAUGUGAAAUUUAAUUCCUCCCUGCAGAAAAGGCGACAGACGGUGACAUUCACUGAUGCUUGCUGAACAUCUGUGGAGACCUAACAGUGGAUGUGAGCACCAUGAGGUGAUGAGUGGUGUGUUUCAGCAGUGGUGGCAGCAACAGUGAAUUACCUCAGCUGAUGCAUGGAUUUACCAUGGGCCUAAUCAACAUGAUAGCCUCCUGUGCCCCAGGCCCUGUGGUGCUGGAGUUGAUGUUCUGCCAAGCAGAGGACCACUGACUGUGCCAGACAGAGAGGGUGGUUGUCCUUGGCAGCAGAACUACAAAGCAGAUGUUGAGAUGUGCUGCAUACUUUGCUCAACUCAGAUCAGUAGAAGAGCUCAGAGGGUUGUCAUCAGUGACACAGAGUCUGAUUAGAAGCCUGGAACUAGUGGUGUUCCCCAGGAGCUGGUGCUGGAUCUGAUCUUGUUCAACAACAUUGUUAACAACCUGGAUGAAGAGAUAGUCUCCAUCCUCAGCAAGUUUGCUGAUGAUACAAAGCUGGGAGGACAUCCAGACACACUGGAAGGCUGUGUUACCGUUCAACAAGACCUGGACAGGCUGGAGAGUUGGGAAGAGAGGAAAGGUUCAACAAAAAUAAUCCAGCAAGUUACCAGGCCAAAUGGCUCUCUGAACACGAGCCCACAAAGCGCUGAAUGAGGAAGUGCACUGCUCCAGGAGAUUUCAGCACAGCCAACCAGAAGGUGGCUUUAGCAGUGGUGCUAGAAACAAAAAAAUGGCUUGAAACGCGUAUUAGAAUUCAGUAAAGAGAAACUACGGGGAAGAAAGAAGUACAAGCCAACUGCAGAGCAGGAAAACUGUUGAACAUUCUCCAAUUUCUUUUGACACUUCACAGUGACAGAAACCCCUGUGCUAAAUAUGUUGGUGCUGAGCUGCUGUGAAAAUUUACUGUUCAAUAGCUUCCAGAGUUUCUCAUCUCUUACCUACAGUGAGCAAGCAUAGUGUCUGACCAUUGGGCUUCCUUGCUGAGUAUGGCUGUCUACUGAGUAGCUCAAAGACUUUUAAAGGAUUUUGUGAACUAUGUUUCCAAGGUGCCCUCUACUUUUAAUCUCCUUAUGACUGGAAAUUGUUGGUCCAUGGCGCUAUUGGUGAGAAGCAAAGCUACUGAACUUUGUGAAUCAGCAAAUGAAUGAAAAAUCACUGGGACUAACAAUGCCUGUUGGAUCUUAAAAGAAAAUAACACUUCAUAACGUGCUUCAUUUUGACAAACACAAUUUCAUUGUAAUUUGAAGUAGCAACACUUGGCAAUAUAUUGAAUCUUCGUUUUUCUUAGGUCACGUGCUGGCUGGCUGGCAGCUGGGUCCAAGGAUUGAAGGUAAAAGACACAGAGGUGGAAAUGAAACACAAGGUCAUUUAAUUUACAAUCCUUCAUUUUGCUCAGCAACUUUUUGACUAGUAUCAUUUUAACACUAUUGAUGAUCUCAACUGAUUAUUUCCUGUAGAGAGUGUUCACAGCCUAAUAUUAAUUGCACAACACUGUAAAAUUUCCAAAAAAUUUGAAGGGGUUAAAACAAAAUGGUACUGCAGCUUUCUGCUAUUAGAUAUCUGCUAAUGGGAGCACAUGAUGAAGGUUAGAGUAAAUUAAUUGCUUGAUUAUACAACCCUUGGAUCUUGCGUUCAUAGGCUAAGUAACAAAUCAGUGUUUCUGUAUAUUUUUAUUCUAAUUACAUAAUGAUAUAGUAGAGUGUAGGGACAGUCAUCCCAAUGGUAAUUUUUAAUUGUGGAAGUUCAGAGACUUCUGGGUAGGUUGGAACAGUAGCUGAACCUGCUGCUCUGUUUUUGGUUUUGCUCACACUGAAAUGUAGGAAAGCCUCUUAGUGGGAUGCAUGCAUGCAUGUCUAGGAAUACUGGCACUGCUUGGUUUCACUAAUUUUUUUUUUUUUAAUAGACAAAGUGGAUUUUCUGCCCAACUUAGAAACAUAAAUCUGCCAAGAUGUAUAACAAAGACUAAGUCAUGGACAAAGCAGCCAGAGGAAACUCUGAAACUGUCUGAUAGCACUGGGGUAACAGAACGUCACACUAAGCUGCAACACCUCAUCCGCCAGCAAGCUCCUUUGGACUGUAGCUGCCCUAUAACGUUUCUCACAUAUGCAUGGAACUAUGAAAUUCAGUGUUCCAGCACAACAUUAGUUAGAUUUAGCUUUGGUGCUUGGCUGCUGGUUACUGCUGAAAAAACAGAGGUUUGCUUUGCUAAAGCAUCCAAAAUGAAAUUUGCUUGCUGUUGCUGCACUAAGUUGCCAUCCAGCAUGCACUGAAGAAAAAAAUCCUGGUUAUUUUCCCAUGGCUCCCUUAGCCAUACAAGUGCUAGGUGGGAAUGCACCUUCCUUGUGAAAAUGGACUGUGGAGAACAGAUCAGCUGGAUUCUCAGGUUGUUCUCCUGGGGCCUUGGCAGGCUGGGACUCAGAGCUGCAGGCAGCCUCCCUUCCACUCAACCUCUGCAGGGUGAGCAAAACAGUGCUUCUACCUCCAUGUAGCUCUGUUUUGUAUAUGUCCUCUGUUCACUGCAAACAUAUGAAAGACACAUGUUUUAUUGCAGAUUUUUUUGGCAUGCAGACAAAGUGCAAGGAGAGGGGCUAAUUAGGCUUCAGGGUGGCACCUCCCUCUAGCAUCAUAAAUAAAAGCUAUUUAACAAAAAAUAUAAUAGGAUGCCAGUAAAAAUGCUUGGAAAUAGAAUUACAAUAGCCAAACUUGUAUUUUGUAAGUUGUUUACCAUAAAUGAAAUAAAGUACAAAGG
ensembl:lncRNA